GAAUAUUGGACAAUGGGCGCAAGCCUGAUCCAGCCAUGCCGCGUGAGUGAAGAAGGCCCUCGGGUUGUAAAGCUCUUUUGUUCGGAAAGAAAAGCAUCCAGUUAAUACCUGGGUGUCCUGACGGUACCGGAAGAAUAAGCACCGGCUAACUUCGUGCCAGCCGCCGCGGUAAUACGAAGGGUGCAAGCGUUACUCGGAAUUACUGGGCGUAAAGCGUGCGUAGGUGGUUUGUUAAGUCUGAUGUGAAAGCCCUGGGCUCAACCUGGGAAUGGCAUUGGAUACUGGCAGGCUAGAGUGCGGUAGAGGGCAGUGGAAUUCCCGGUGUAGCAGUGAAAUGCGUAGAGAUCGGGAGGAACAUCUGUGGCGAAGGCGACUGCCUGGACCAGCACUGACACUGAGGCACGAAAGCGUGGGGAGCAAACAGG
rnacentral:rRNA from 1 species